UGGAUUAUGACUGAUAGAAAAGAAGGAUCUUAGCCGAUUUUUGAGGCCUCUUCGCUGUUGUUGCCACUGAGCUUCAAUGGCAAACUCAUCUA
rnacentral:sRNA from 1 species